rnacentral:rRNA from 1 species
UGGGGAAUUUUGGACAAUGGGGGCAACCCUGAUCCAGCCAUGCCGCGUGCGGGAAGAAGGCCUUCGGGUUGUAAACCGCUUUUGUUCGGGAAGAAAAGGCCGAGGUUAAUACCCUUGGUUCUUGACGGUACCGGGAGAAUAAGCACCGGCUAACUACGUGCCAGCAGCCGCGGUAAUACGUAGGGUGCGAGCGUUAAUCGGAAUUACUGGGCGUAAAGCGUGCGCAGGCGGUUUGUUAAGUCUGAUGUGAAAGCCCCGGGCUCAACCUGGGAACGGCAUUGGAAACUGGCAAGCUGGAGUGUGGCAGAGGGGGGUGGAAUUCCGCGUGUAGCAGUGAAAUGCGUAGAGAUGCGGAGGAACACCGAUGGCGAAGGCAGCCCCCUGGGCCAACACUGACGCUCAGGCACGAAAGCGUGGGGAGCAAACA